AGGCGCUCCUUUCCACGUGCGAAAGCCUGAGACUCGUGGAGUCGGGGACGCCGCAGGUUGCCUGAAUCGCGCGACCAGAACGCAGUAAUGAAGCCAGGUAAGGACCACGGUGCGGGCAGGAGUCGGGGGCUCUAGGCGCGGCGGGCGGGGACCGCGGCCGCUCGGGGCCGGGGGAUGUGGCCGUGAGCUCGGCUCACCGGCCGGCCUACAAGCUUGCCGCCUCAGAGCGGCCGGUGCGGCCCUCCAGACCCUGACCCAGAGUUGGGGCUUGGAUCUCCGAGCAUUGCUUUAGGGGAUCCGACUUGGGUCGCAGAUGAAAGGGCCCCUGUCUCCACCCCAAGCCUUCCCUGUUGCCGCCGUCACCCACUGUCACUCCCUGUCAACGAUACCUUGGUCCCCAACCCAGCUUCCCCCCGGGUAAAUGAGGAUCUCCGGCUCCGUGGUGUGCGGCGCUCGCGUGCACAGGCUGGCGCUCGCCGCGCUUCCGGGAGGGGCGGGACCCAAGGCUUGUAGGAGUAGAGGCUCUGGGGACCUGGGAGUCCCUGCUCUGUAGUGAGAGCGACUUUACUAGCCCGGCUAUUAGCGGGGUAGGUGAUUGGAAUUGAGAGGGGUUGGUUUAGGUUUGGAUUUUGAGAGCGUCUUGUCACGUGAUCCUAGCUGGCCGAGAUCCACCAGCCUUUACCUCCAGAGUACGGGGAUUAAAGGCGUGCGCCACCACGGCUGGCCUGACAAAUGUAUCCAUCUCACCUAUUUCCCGCGUUUUUUUCUGAUGAGCCCACUGUAUGGUGGAUGAUGGCGAGAGUUCUGGCUUUGACAAUAGAAAGUUCUCGUUUCUCUCUUGAGUUCUUAAUGGAUAAGUGGUUUUCUUGGUGAUAGGUUACUCUGGGCUGUCAAUCCUAGCACUCGGAAAGCGGAGACAGUUAGAUAAUGAGUUUGUAACACCAGUCUGUUCUACAUUAGUCGUGAUAGCAUGAGCUUUUCCUGUUGCCGAAGGAUCAGUUUUCACCACUGCAGGUUUUUGUCUGGCGUGGACACACAUGUUCCUGUGGACAGAUGGAGAGUAAGUCACUGCAGGCGAUAGUGACCCAUCUCUCCCUCCCAGACAUGUUGAAUAUCUAUCUGGGGCUCUGUUCUGGAUGUCUGGGGAAGUAAGGUGGAGGGAUUGCUAGUCUGGAUGUUCUCCUGGCAUCCUGUGAUUUGUGCUUUCCCCUCAACCUUUCUCCAUCACACGAUAGAAUGAGAAUUGUUGAACAGUCGAAUCUUCUGUGACAGUUUGUGUCUUGAAUACGAAGCAGCUUUGGGGGAGAUUGUUUUAAACAGAGGUGUGCUACAAAGUAUGGUGGACGAUUCUCAACAAGGUCCUUUAUUUUCAUGUUUGUGUAUUGAAAUGGCAUCUUAUUGUAAUAGCCUAGGCUAGCCUCAGACUCGGCUUCCCAAGUGGCUGGGUUGCAGGCAUGUGAUUGCAGCAGUUGCUGGAGUUGCUAGUUUGGAGGUGGGGAGACUUGUAGAGAAAAGCAGAUUCUAAAACAGCAGACUGUGUGUGAACAUAAAAGUCUUGUUGAGUAGUGAGUCCUUUCGGUUCAUUUUCCUCAAAACCCCAGGACCAGAAAUGGAUCCUGAUAACACAUUGAGUAUUAUGUGUCUGAGUUGACCCUGCUAUCUACCGGUCGCCAUGAGGAUGCCAACAGCUUGCCAGAUCUCUGUUCUGUCAGGCCCAGGGUUGGAGCUAGUGGCUCUUCUCCUCAGUACUCUUGUGUAUACAGUUCCUUGAUUUUUCUAUCAUUCCCAUAGACCUUUGCUACUUUAGGGUCUUGAGUAACAGUAGCAUAGCCAUCCUCCCAUAUGAGCUACAGGACACCAUUCUCUUCUGAAUGAAAACAAGUGGUUUCUCUGAGGCAGAAUCCAGGGCUGUGGAUAUGGCUCAGCUGAUAAAGUGCUUCCUGGCAUUCGGGAGACAAUAGCUUUAUUCUCCUGUGCUACCUAGGGAUAGGUGUGGUGGUGAACAUCCAUCUUCCUGCCUUCGAGGUGGGGGGGGUCAAAAAUUCAGAUUGAUCAACCAUUGCAGCUGGAGACCCUGUCUCAAGGUCAUCGGCAGACGUUUGCUGACUGAUUGUUGGUGUCAGCAUUGGAUUGUGCUGAGAUGCUGUAACCAGAAUAAUUACAAAGCCUUUUGUGCAUUUGGAACUUGUGGGUGCCAGUGAGACUGACAGUUAAAUGUAACGUGACAAGAAGUGGGCUGAGUCUGUACCACUUAGUCAGACACCCAAGUGCGGGAGUGCUGUGCCUGCCUGCGGGAGCUGGGAAGAGGGGCAGCUCGCAUGAGAUUUCAAAGCCUGCCAUUUGCAGAUGGGGGACAGCCUGGGUUGAUGAAUCUCAAUUUAGGCUAUACAUUAAGGUCCUGCAGGGAAC
rnacentral:lncRNA from 1 species